rnacentral:lncRNA from 1 species
CUCGGGACCCGGAAGGAGGGAGAGGCGAGAGGGCUGGCUUGCCUGGGACGGGGGCAUGGGGACUGCUGUGCGGGGAUUGCGGGGGUCACGGGGAAGGAGCAGGGGCCAGUGUAGGAAAAGAAGCCGGGGCGAGGCAAGGUGGAGGAUAUCCGGGGUCAGGGGUCCCAGGGACGCUGGAGCGAGCCCUCCUGAGUGGUGGGAUGCCACCGACACCUUGCUUCUCCCUAGCUUCUAGUGCUCGGCGCUCAGAGAGGCAGGAUCUUGCUCUGUUGGCCAGGCUGGAGUGCAGUGGCAUGAUCAUAGCUCACUGUAACCUCAAACUCUUGGGCUCAAGUGAUCCUUUCACCUCAGCCUCCCAAGUAGCAAGGACUACAGGUACUCACCACCACACUCAGCUCAUUUUUCUUUUUUUUGGUACAGAUGGGGUCUCACUAUGUUGCCCAGGCUGGUCUUUUCCUGGCCUCAAGCAAUCCUCCUGCCUCAGCUUCCCUAAGUGCUGGGAUUACAGGUGUGAACUACUGAGCCUGGCUAUUCUUUUUUGAUACUAGCCAAAACUUGACAAGUGCUGUUUUUUUUUUUUGAAGGUUAGUUGUGAUUAGAAUCUGAAAUCUAGCCGGGCGCAGUGGCUCAUGCCUGUAAUCCCAGCACUUUGGGAGGCUGAGGUGGGUGGAUCACGAGGUCAGGAGUUCGAGACCAGCUUGGCCAAUAUGGUGAAACCCCGUCUCUACUAAAAAUACAAAAAUUAGCUGGGCAUGGUGGCGCCUGCCUGUAGUCCCAGCUGCUCGGGAGGCUGAGGCAGGAGAAUCUCUUGAACCCGGGAGGCGGAGGUUGCAGUGAGCCAAGAUUCUGCCACUGCACUCAGUCUCAAAAAAAAAAAAAAAAAUCUGAAAUCCUAUCAAUGAAAUUUUUAUGUUCAAUUACAUUAAAAUACAUUAGACUCUUUCGCAUUUUGGAUAUAUCUUUUGCCCAAGCAUGAUGUUAUAACUUAAUGCACUGGCUGUUUGGAAAAAAAUGGUUCACCAAGUUAUGCAGGUCUUUCAAAUAUUGACAAAUAUUAGUAUACUAUGUUUUAAAAAUCACAUUAGUUAAUAUCAACACCGAUCUCAUCAGAGAAGUCUUUAAGUAUUGGGAAGCUGCCAAGGUCACAGUGGUGAACACAAGGUUUCUAAAAUUCCAAUUUUCACUUGAGCUUGGGUUUCAUCAUUAGCAAUAAAUACUGUCAGUUUGCUGUGAAAUGACAGAUUCAUUUUAUUCAUUCUUGAGAAAAUGUCUGCCAGAGACUCAAGUCUGCAUAAGCAUAAUUUAUCUGUCAGUAUUUCUUUCAGGUCAAAAUGGUGUUCCAUGAAAAAAAAAAAGUGACUAGUUAAGCUCACAGUUCAAACAAGUGCAAAUGCUUUUCUGGAGACAACCAUUGUGCUGCAUCGGAUAUGGCAGAAGUGCUCUAUGUUGCUUCCCAGAAUAUUAAAAAGAUGUAUACUCAAGGAC